UACAGAGGGGGCAAGCGUUGUUCGGAAUUACUGGGCGUAAAGGGCGCGUAGGCGGCCUGUUAAGUCGAACGUGAAAUCCCCGGGCUCAACCUGGGAACUGCAUCCGAUACUGGAUGGCUUGAAUCCGGGAGAGGGAUGCAGAAUUCCAGGUGUAGCGGUGAAAUGCGUAGAUAUCUGGAGGAAUACCGGUGGCGAAGGCGGCAUCCUGGACCGGCAUUGACGCUGAUGAGCGAAAGCUAGGGGAGCAAACGGG
rnacentral:rRNA from 1 species